AAAAUGGUGGCCGAAUUAGGUGUUAGUCUCUUAAAUUAAUUAUGAAUGGUUUAGUUAAUAAUAAUA
rnacentral:tRNA from 1 species